AUUGAACGCUGGCGGCAGGCCUAACACAUGCAAGUCGAACGGUAACAGGAAGAAGCUUGCUUCUUUGCUGACGAGUGGCGGACGGGUGAGUAAUGUCUGGGAAACUGCCUGAUGGAGGGGGAUAACUACUGGAAACGGUAGCUAAUACCGCAUAAUGUCGCAAGACCAAAGAGGGGGACCUUCGGGCCUCUUGCCAUCGGAUGUGCCCGGAUGGGAUUAGCUAGUAGGUGGGGUAACGGCUCACCUAGGCGACGAUCCCUAGCUGGUCUGAGAGGAUGACCAGCCACACUGGAACUGAGACACGGUCCAGACUCCUACGGGAGGCAGCAGUGGGGAAUAUUGCACAAUGGGCGCAAGCCUGAUGCAGCUAUGCCGCGUGUAUGAAGAAGGCCUUCGGGUUGUAAAGUACUUUCAGCGGGGAGGAAGGGAGUAAAGUUAAUACCUUUGCUCAUUGACGUUACCCGCAGAAGAAGCACCGGCUAACUCCGUG
rnacentral:rRNA from 1 species